UCCUAAAUCGGAUCCGGUAUUCUCG
rnacentral:piRNA from 1 species